rnacentral:misc_RNA from 1 species
GACAGUGGCCUGCUUGGUGGGUUGAGUCUCGAUGUUGCCGGUACCGAUAGUGACCCAUGAGCCGUUGGAGGGAAUGCCAUACGUGGUGACGAAGAGCAUGGCCGGGCCGGGCUGGAAGAGGUUGGCGUUGGGCGGGAGCUGCGCAACGUGGAGGGCGAUUGAACCGUCACUGUUGACCGUGUACGUGUUGUUAAGUUGCAUCACACGCUGGCCCAUGUUCAUGCCGUGAGUAGUCCAACCGCCACGGAUGAGGACAACGGUGGUGUUGCCAGCAGCAUCGUUAGCGGAACCUGA